AUUAAAACAAGUAAGGAUGGUACUCAGUAGAACACUUAUCUUCAUACUGAUUGUUUGUAGUGCACAGCGUGGAUGACAACUGGACUGUAGUUCCUGAAAAUGUAUUUGUUUUCAAUCAAAUUAUUUUUUGUACUUAUAAAUGAUAAAUAUAUUAUAUCUCAAUAUAAAUAAUUGACAGUAAUAGUAUAUUAUCUUUCAUUCAAUACGCACCCGUGAUAGUUUAUAUACAUCGAUCAAUGUUUAAUGAUACAGAUUUUUUCAUUUGUAGAAAUAUUUGUGAACUCCCGUUGCAAACCUCACAAUAAAAACAAAAUAAAGUAAGAAUAUAUUUUGUAAAAAUAAAAAUAGAAGAAAUUACAAUGAAGAUAAGAAAUAUUUUUGUUUUCGAGAAUAUGAAAAUAUAUCUUUUGAUAAAAUAUUAUUAUUUAUUAUAAAUACUUUUGGUUUUGUCAACUAUAAAUACUUAUUUAAUUUUUUUUAUUGUAAGAGGAUCUACAACUUUAACAAACGGGAGUUUAUUUAAUUGUAUACCUUUUGAAUGUUUGUUUCAGACAAACUCAACACCAUGUUUGUACGGCUUAAACUUUAAAGAAAUUAUUUACUUAUAAGUCAUCGCAACACGUUUCCAUCUCAUCUGAAUAAGAAAUAAAAUCAUCGUAUCCAACAUGCAAACCAGAUUAAAAAAUAAGUUAGUUCUGAAAAUACAAUAUUUAAAAGAGAUAUGGAUGAAGAAGAGAAAAGGAAAUAACAAUGGAUUUACCUUUUAGGGAUCAGAUGAAGUGUUACUUUCGGAAAUCACCAUCUUCUUCAAUUCUUCUCUUUAACCGAGAGGAACCGACAGCUGAGAGAGUGAAAUGUUUUAAAUGAAACCUGAAAAAAAACACAUGUUUGUCUGUUCCUUUAAUGGGCUUUAGAUUAAAAAAAUCUCAAGGCCCAAACUAAAAACACAUCUUUAAUAUAUAACCACUGCAUUAUAUUUAUAAUAAUUAUUUGAACUGAAUUUAUCUAAUUUAUUAAUUUAUUUUAAAUAAAUAUUUAAUUGAAAUGAUCGAAUUUUAUUUAGUUAAUUAACUUAAAUAUCAUAAAAAUUAAGUGUAAAUAUAUUACUAACAUUAUAUUUAAAACACAAACAAGCCUAUUAACCGAAAACAAAAAUAACUAUAUUUGAAGAAAAUAUAAUUUUAUAAACUAACAUAACUUUUUUUUCAAUAUCGAAUAUUAUUAAACGAAAUUAAAAUUUCUAAGUUCCUUAACAAGAAAAAAAAGGAUCCAAAUCGCUGAAGGUACCAAAUGGAUGUACAAGAAAAUGAACACAAACCUUUGGAGUUUUUGUCUAUUGAAUCACCAAAUCGAAUGAGCUCAACAAGGUCUUUCUUUCAAUGCAUCCGACCAACUUCUAUUUCAUCGGAUCUAUUAUAUUAUUUAAGUCAUCGGAGGGACAUGCAAAACAAAUAAAAUAAGCUUUGUGUAAGAAUUGAUUUGAAUUCAACUCUCUACCGAGGAUGAAGAAAAUAGAGUAAAAGGUUUACCUUGGAGACGAGGUCGAUUCGUGGAAGACAAAACUCAUUGCUUGCUUCAAUCGCCUUUUGAGAGUUUGAUUUUUUUUUUGUAACCAGAAAGUUGUCUGAAAGUGGCAAAAAUAUCUGGAGUCUAUCGGGUAGAAGCUAGAAUUAGUGUGAGCUUGGGCCGAUUUUGAUGAAAUCCUUAUAUAAAAGAAUUUGCUUAAGAAAAAAAAAAUUACAGCCCAUCUUGAUAAUUUUAUAAGCUUAAUUAUAAUCAAGCCAUAUUCUGGCCCAUUUAAAAAAAAAUAACAAUCACAUAUCAAAUAAAAAGAAUUAAAUUAUAAUUAAUUCAACAUUUAUAAUGUACUAAUAAUAUAAACAUUCAAAGUUUUUUUUUAAAAAAACUAUAACAUUUUUUUCAACUUUAUUGUAAUUAAUAGUUAAGAUAAAUAUAUGUUAUCCUAUAUCCUACAAAGGAAUAUUGAUCAAACUCUAUUCCCAAGUAAAACUUUACCACAAAUAAAUAUUAUAUGUGUACAAUAUAAUUUAUUCAUAAUUUAAAAUCUGAAAGGCAUAGAAAUCAUAAUUUACCUUGACUUUAAGUUAACAAAUAAAAAAUCAAUAGUAUUAUAGUAAUAGCAGAUUGAUAUAUUGUUAUUAUGUGAAAAAUUUAGACAACUUUCUCAAUUGUGUAGUUCGAAAUAACAUUAAACAUGUAGACAUUUAAUCUCUUAUAAGAUACAAGCAAAAUAUACAUAUUUGGAUAUGUUAAUAUAACUGAAACAAUCCUCGGGCCGAGGAUUCCUCGCACUUUCAUAAUAUAAAUGCUAUUUUUUGCUAUCUUAUUAUACCCUAUUUAAAGAAAAAAAUGAAAAAAAAAAUUCAAAAUGUUUUAUUUUACUUUAUUGGAAACAAUAAAUCUGAAUAGAAAUAGAACAAGAACCAAAAUACUCGAAACUAUAUCAGAUUCAUAUUAUAUCCAGAUCCAAACGUAAAACCAAACAAUUCAAACACUCUAACCAAACACAGCUUUAUACAUAAACAAAUGGUUCAUAUAUUUUAAACCACAAAACCCAAAACAA